rnacentral:rRNA from 1 species
CCAACAGGGAUUCCCCUAGUAACGGCGAGUGAAGCGGGAAGAGCUCAAAUUUGAAAUCUGGCGGUCUACGGCCGUCCGAGUUGUAGUCUGGAGAAGCGUUUUCUACGUCGGACCGUGUACAAGUCCCUUGGAACAGGGCGUCGCAGAGGGUGAGAAUCCCGUCUUUGACACGGACUGCCGACGUUUUGCGAUGCGCUCUCGAAGAGUCGAGUUGUUUGGGAAUGCAGCUCAAAACGGGUGGUAAAUUCCAUCUAAAGCUAAAUAUUGGCGAAAGACCGAUAGCGAACAAGUACCGUGAGGGAAAGAUGAAAAGCACUUUGGAAAGAGAGUUAAACAGUACGUGAAAUUGUUGAAAGGGAAACGCUUGAAGUCAGUCACGUCUUCCGGGACUCAGCCCUUGCUUUUUUUUUUCUGCUUGGCGUAUUUCCCGGGGCGACGGGCCAGCGUCGAUUUCGAUCGUCGGAGAAAGGCUUUGGGAACGUGGCACCUUCGGGUGUGUUAUAGCCCUCGGUCGCAUGCGACGGUCGGGAUCGAGGAUCGCAGCACGCCAUUCUUUUUGGCCGGGGUUCGCCCACGUAACGUGCUUAGGAUGCUGGCGUAAUGGCUUUAAGCGACCCGUCUUGA